UACGUAGGGAGCAAGCGUUGUCCGGAAUCAUUGGGCGUAAAGCGCGCGUAGGCGGCCCUGUAAGUCCGUUGUGAAAGUCAAAGGCUCAACCUUUGAAAGCCGAUGGAUACUGCAGGGCUAGAGUCCGGAAGAGGCGAGUGGAAUUCCUGGUGUAGCAGUGAAAUGCGUAGAGAUCAUGAGGAAGACCAGUGGCGAAGGCGGGUCUCUGGACAGUUCCUGACACUGUGACACGAAGGCCAGGGGAGCAAACGGG
rnacentral:rRNA from 1 species